GAAAUGGUUUUGAUUCUGCCUUAAAAAUGGUUGUUGGCUCUGAAACUGUGCCAGCACGUCAAUUUGUAGAAUAUUCUUUUGGCCAAUUGAAGUCUUUCAAUGAUGCAUACCUUUCCAAGGAUCUACUUUCAAACAGCAAUUGUUCAGAGAUUGCUAGUAGUUCCAACAAUUCUGUAGUGUCAGAUAUUCCUUCACAGAUAGAGAACAUUUCAGAAGCCUCUUCGAAUGAAAAAAGUUGCAGCCAGGAGAGUAAUUUAGAGUCCCACAUUGAUAAUGGUGGCUUAGAUGAUGGACACCCAGCAGAAUUGGGGGCAAAAGCUGAUGAGAUUAUGCAAUCAAAUAAACAUUUUUGGAAGAACUUUGCUGAACU
rnacentral:misc_RNA from 1 species